CGCCUGAGCGCGGCCGCCGCCGUCCGGGCUUGGCUGGGGGUCCCCGGGGAGGAGGGCGCAGCUGUGCCUCAGUCGGAGCGCGGCGGGGCCGAGGACGCGGGGAAGGGUUUCUGUGGAGAAAUGUGUGUUGUGCGCUCCGAGCCCGAGAAACGGUCUUGGAAAUAAAGCAGGAAUUCCUCUCCAGGCCAAACGCAGCAUGUGAAGAUUUUCACGGAGCGCUCUCUGAAGCGAAACCUUCCCAGGAAGAGUGUCCAUGGGGCACUGACGGCCCUGCAGCCAGGACACUGCCGUGCCGGACCAGGAGAUGUGCAGGAGAGGAACCGGGACUGGGGGUCGGGGUGCCUCUACCCCAUGGUGAUUCUGAG
ensembl:lncRNA